rnacentral:tRNA from 1 species
GGCUCGUUAGCUUAGUUGGUAAAGCACUCGUCUAGCAUACAAGAGUCAUGGGUUCGAAUCUCAGCUGAGUAG